CCGGAUGCCAACACACCAGGCAAAACAGUUAACCGCAAAGAAGAAUCAGGGAUUCGUCGAUUGUCUGGCUGAAAUUGAAAAUUAUUUUCCCGCUUAUAGGUUUUCGUGGUUAAGUGGCUACAGAAGUUAAAUAGAAACUCGAUCGCAAUUCGGGGCGGAAAAUUAAACGGGUUUGAAGCAACUCUUUUUAUCUUGAUUGACGUGCAUCAAAUUGAUAUAUACCGUUAGCCUGGAAUAUACAAUUCAGUUAAUGGAACAAUCAAAUUUUUAAUUAUCUCUAAAGCUUCUGAACGUAUCUAUGUAUAGGGGACUUGUCUAAAACGGAUACAAGAAAGGAGACGGUACCUUCGAAAACGUAGUCUCCUCACGAUCAGACCAGUUCUUUAAGACAUGAUCAUCGGCUGCUUCGGAUUAAUCCCUUCUCUUGUGAUAUCCCUCCUUACUUCUCAGUAAAACGGACGACGCGUCUGAAAGCAGACGAUACCUACCUCCUUCCUUGCACCUUCCACCUCCUUGGCCUGAAUCCUUACGGAGCUUGGCGUAGAUUAACUUUUGAUACGAGACCUCGCAGUUUCCGCUGGAACCUCGAUUCAUACGCGCAUGCUGGGAGACGUCGUGUGUUUUUGAUUAUCAAAUUUCUAUUAGUGACAGUGAAUUACUUGUGAAACGAGCAACUUCACAGUCUAGCCAGCUGCAGCCUGAAGGAGCAGCCCGGAGAACAAAAGGAUCAAGAGGGAAACUGAAGUACAGAAGGGGAAAUAAACGAGCAAACGAUAGAAAGGAACUACAGAUAACCGGAAAUGCGUUCUGUAACAGCAACUGCAGUUUUGAGCUUGUGCAUCCUCUGUAUCCUUACUUAUCCGACCAUCGGCAUGAGCAGGAUUCUAAAUUCGGACUUCGUCUACUUUCCCGACCAAGCAGAAUACGUGAAGCUCUCUUCGAAAUGUCCUGAUAACACGAUCCUGUGGCCUGGGACCCGUCGGUGUUACAGAGAAGGCGAACAAGGUCCCUGCAAUAUCGGCAGAAUUCUAGUUCUGGAUCGAAAACUUUUGAAACCAUACUGCAAAGAUACGGUGCUGAAGUGAAUAACUCUUCUAUUAUCGAUUGCGUGCAAUUUUACUAGAGAUGGCAGCAGGGAUCCACAAUGAUUUAUCUAAUACUCACUGUUAAUCAAAAAAUUACUUAAUUUAUGAUUAGUAUUUAAUUAUAAAAUGAAGAAUUGAUUUAAGUAAUGAAAUAGAAAUUUUAAUUUCAUUUAUUCUUAUUUUAUUGAAAAAGAAGAAGUAGUUAGUUAAUUUUGUGAUUAGAGAAAAGCUGUUGAAUUUGGUCCACUUAAGCCUUAGAUUGAUGACUAGUUUCUUUUAAUUUUAUAAUAUUGAAACUAGAGAAAUAAUAGUUAUUUUUUAUAUCAUUAAAAUGAUGUAACUCUCUUUUCUAAAAAUAUUAUAUAGUUAGAAAGGAAGAGAAGAAAUUUAUAGAUUGGUUCAUCAGUCCAAUUAAAGCAAUUUGUUCUUCAAGACGGACUUCGGAUUUCUUAAGGUGAACCAAUUAUUUUAUUCAUAGAAAUCAAUAAUUGUCUUAGGAGCAAGUGUAGUAAUUGCAACAUAUUUCGUGAUUCAAAAAUAGUAACUAAAUUAAAGUUAUGAAAACAAUCAAAAAGGAUUUAUAAUUAAAUUUUUAUUGUGAAAUUUAACAUUCUUGAUUAAUAAAAGAGCAAAUAAGAAAUUAAAAAGCUAUUUCUUUUAUAAAAUUCACCAGAAUCUGCGUUAACCUCGUACUUAAAUUAAAAUCGUUAGAUAUUUAUUAAUUUCGUAGAGAUGAAUUAAGUAUUCAUCAAUCGAAGUGAUAAAUUGCGAGAUCCCUUGGAUGAUUGCUGAAAGACUGAGGCUGUGUAAUGGUUCUAAAGCUAACAACAAUUUGUAGCAUUUUUAUUUUUAAGUAGGGAAUAAAUGUUAUUACCUCAAGUCAUGAGUUUGUGGUAUUUUGACAGUCGUAUAAUCACAGCUUUCAUGAGUUCUAUAAUUCGUGUAAUUUUACAUUCCUUUAAAUAUGUAAAUCUUAAUUCGAAUAAUACAAUGCAAUGAUAGUAUGAAUUUUCUCGUUCAACUAGAAAUUCUUCAUAGAUAGUGCACCUCUGCACAGUUAUAACAAAAUAGCAUAAUGACUGUGCAAAUAGAAGUUGUUUAGCUAAUUGUUAACAAUAAUGCUCAUAUGAUGUAUAUGAAUACUAAUCCUGUAAAAAUAUAAUUUUGUAAAGCA